rnacentral:rRNA from 1 species
UACGAAGGUCCCAAGCGUUGUUCGGAAUCACUGGGCGUAAAGGGUGCGUAGGCGGCGCGGAAAGUCAGAUGUGAAAGCCCCGGGCUCAACCCGGGAACUGCAUCCGAUACUCCCGCGCUAGAGGAUUGGAGAGGAGUCUGGAAUUCACGGUGUAGCAGUGAAAUGCGUAGAUAUCGUGAGGAACACUCGUGGCGAAGGCGAGACUCUGGACAAUUCCUGACGCUGAGGCACGAAGGCCGGGGGAGCAAACAGG